rnacentral:tmRNA from 1 species
GGGGACGAAAGGGUUCGACAGGGAAGGUUGAUCCCGGAGUGCAAGCCGAGGUCGCCACACCCUCGUAAAACAGGUGGCGAAAGAUAACUGGCGAAAACCAGUACGCUCUAGCCGCCUAAUAGCGGCGGCUACGUUGGGCCAAGGCCUCUCCUCGACGGGCCGGGUCCGGCGCCGCGAAGCCGAGGUGCGGUUCCUCCGACGCCGAUACGGGGGGCCAAAGACCGAAUCGGCUGGCCCGCCGGUGACUCCGUCGGUGGAGGUACGGCGGGCGAGACACAAACGCCGACUAAGCUUGUAGAGGUCCGGGUGGGUCUUCCUCUGGACGA